AUUGAACGCUGGCGGCAGGCCUAACACAUGCAAGUCGAACGGUAGCACAGAGAGCUUGCUCUCGGGUGACGAGUGGCGGACGGGUGAGUAAUGUCUGGGAAACUGCCCGAUGGAGGGGGAUAACUACUGGAAACGGUAGCUAAUACCGCAUAACGUCGCAAGGCCAAAGUGGGGGACCUUCGGGCCUCACACCAUCGGAUGUGCCCAGAUGGGAGUAGCUAGUAGGUGGGAUAAUGGCUCACCUAGGCGACGAUCCCUAGCGGAUCUGAGAGGAUGACCAGCAACACUGGAACUGAGACACGGUCCAGACUCCUACGGGAGGCAGCAGUGGGGAAUAUUGCACAAUGGGCGCAAGCCUGAUGCAGCCAUGCCGCGUGUAUGAAGAAGGCCUUCGGGUUGUAAAGUACUUUCAGCGGGGAGGAAGGCGGUGAAGUUAAUAGCUUCACCGAUUGACGUUACCCGCAGAAGAAGCACCGGCUAACUCCGUGCCAGCCGCCGCCGUAA
rnacentral:rRNA from 1 species